UACGUAGGGUGCGAGCGUUAAUCGGAAUUACUGGGCGUAAAGCGUGCGCAGGCGGGCUUUUAAGCCAGACGUGAAAUCCCCGGGCUUAACCUGGGAAUGGCGUUUGGGACUGGGAGUCUGGAGUGCGGCAGAGGAGACUGGAAUUCCUGGUGUAGCAGUGAAAUGCGUAGAUAUCAGGAGGAACACCGAUGGCGAAGGCGGGUCUCUGGGCAGUAACUGACGCUGAGGAGCGAAAGCGUGGGGAGCGAACAGG
rnacentral:rRNA from 1 species